UACGGGGGGGGUAAGCGUUGUUCGGAAUUACUGGGCGUAAAGCGCACGUAGGCGGAUGUUUAAGUCGGGGGUGAAAUCCCAGGGCUCAACCCUGGAACUGCCUUCGAUACUGGACGUCUUGAGUCCGAGAGAGGUGAGUGGAAUUCCGAGUGUAGAGGUGAAAUUCGUAGAUAUUCGGAAGAACACCAGUGGCGAAGGCGGCUCACUGGCUCGGAACUGACGCUGAGGUGCGAAAGCGUGGGGAGCAAACAGG
rnacentral:rRNA from 1 species